rnacentral:lncRNA from 1 species
ACAUGUUUUUCCUUUAAUAGAUGAAGGAUUAUAGGAUCCUUGUAUGUAUAUAUAUGGUACUCUAUUCUUUGAAAUAAUACAUCAGAAUUUUUAAUCCUUUUAAUACAAAUGACAUACCAAGACUUCCCAAACCGACCAUUUGCACACAGGACCGCAAACUCGAGUUUUCAGUAGUUGAGUUCCUCAAAUUGAGUUAUAAACUAAGUAGAAUUCUACCUUAUUACCCUCCCACACUCCUAACUCAAUUUUCUAUCAUUUCAAAGUAUUAAACAGGACUCAAACAAGUCAUAACUCACCCCAACUUCAGCAAAUCAGCUCAUCAGCCAUAUUUCACCAUUGACAUACAUUAGACAUAAUCUUUUAACACAAGAAUAACUCUUUCCUUCAACAAGUUAAUCAUAAAAUUCACUUUAUUAACAUCAGAACCAACCUCAAUAUUACUUACAAUAGACUCAACAUUAUUUAAAACCAUUCACCAUCAUACAAUUCAUCAACUUCACCAUAUAAUCUCAAUUAUCACUAACAU